AUGGCUCAGGAUGAACGCUAGCUACAGGCUUAACACAUGCAAGUCGAGGGGCAGCAUGGAGUUGCUGCAAACUCUGAUGGCGACCGGCGCACGGGUGAGUAACGCGUAUCCAACCUUCCCUAUAGUAGAGGAUAGCCCGGCGAAAGUCGGAUUAAUACUCUAUGUUUCCGUGCAGACAUCUAAGAUGGAACAAAGGCUUGCCGCUAUAGGAUGGGGAUGCGUCUGAUUAGAUAGUAGGCGGGGUAACGGCCCACCUAGUCGACGAUCAGUAGGGGUUCUGAGAGGAAGGUCCCCCACAUUGGAACUGAGACACGGUCCAAACUCCUACGGGAGGCAGCAGUGAGGAAUAUUGGUCAAUGGGCGAGAGCCUGAACCAGCCAAGUAGCGUGCAAGGAUGACGGCCCUAUGGGUUGUAAACUGCUUUUAUAUGGGGAUAAAGUCACCCACGUGUGGGUGUUUGUAGGUACCAUAUGAAUAAGGACCGGCUAAUUCCGUGCCAGCAGCAGC
rnacentral:rRNA from 1 species